UACGGAGGGGGCUAGCGCUAUUCGGAAUUAUUGGGCGUAAAGGGCGCGUAGGCGGCCCGGUAAGUCAAAGGUGAAAUCCCUCAGCUCAACUGAGGAACUGCCUUUGAAACUGUCGGGCUUGAGGCCGGGAGGGGGUAGCGGAAUUCCCAGUGUAGCGGUGAAAUGCGUAGAUAUUGGGAGGAACACCGGUGGCGAAGGCGGCUACCUGGACCGGUUCUGACGCUGAUGCGCGAAAGCGUGGGUAGCAAACAGG
rnacentral:rRNA from 1 species